UGGGGAAUAUUGGACAAUGGGCGCAAGCCUGAUCCAGCCAUGCCGCGUGAGUGACGAAGGUCUUCGGAUUGUAAAGCUCUUUUGGCGGGGACGAUAAUGACGGUACCCGGAGAAUAAGUCCCGGCUAACUUCGUGCCUGCAGCCGCGGUAAUACGAAGGGGACUAGCGUUGUUCGGAAUUACUGGGCGUAAAGCGCACGUAGGCGGAUUUGUCAGUCAGGGGUGAAAUCCCGGGGCUCAACCUCGGAACUGCCUUUGAUACAGCAAGUCUUGAGUCCGAUAGAGGUGGGUGGAAUUCCUAGUGUAGAGGUGAAAUUCGUAGAUAUUAGGAAGAACACCGGUGGCGAAGGCGGCCCACUGGAUCGGUACUGACGCUGAGGUGCGAAAGCGUGGGGAGCAAACAGGAUUAGAUACCCCCGUAGUCCCUGAGCGGGCUGGCAAGGCGCAU
rnacentral:rRNA from 1 species